rnacentral:lncRNA from 1 species
CGCUGUCCCAUUCACACCUUCGCGCACACUCUCUCCCAGGUCCCGGGAGCCCCCGCGCACACCAGCGCCCAGGUCCCGGCAGCCUCUGCGCACACCGUCCCUGGUCCCCGCGCACAUCUGCCCGCGACCUCCACCCGGCUCCCGUGGGCCCUUGCUCCCUUGCUCCCGCGGGGCUUGGCCACGUGUUGUUUGCUGUCUCGCAUGCCGCCUGGAACCCCUGGAAAUGAAGGCCCAGCCCCGUGCGCGCCUUGGAACCUGCAAAAUACAGAGUGGAUCUUCAUUUCUUAUAACAAGCGAGAUUCCUCAGCCCACCUUUCCUCCAGUCUCAUCCUUUUAACGUCACAUCCCAUCCACCGUUAUCCAGAAGGAAGUGAAAUGGAAAAGCCAAGAGAGAAUGGUGAAAUUGCCUCAGAGCAGAGUGUGUGGAUGGCAAGAAUCACACAAGAUGAAGUUGCAAGUUGUUAAGAAAAAGUUUUACGUAUGUUUCCUAAAACUGUUUCUUGUUCUCUGAAUACAGAGUUCGUAUGUGAUGACCUCUACCUUUAUAUCUAUGAAAAUGUAUAAUGAUAUUCAAAAGGAAACGUAUUUUACAGCUUCAUCAUAUGUUGUAACCCUUGCUCUGAUCCAAUACAGAGUUUUUCCAAUUGCACAAAAGAAAUGAAAAUUAAAACGUGCUUCGUAAAAUGUUAAGUGCAAUAUAAAUAUUUAAUUAUGGCUAUUUUAAAUAUUUUAAAUACUGCUGUGCUGUGGGGUAUCAUAGAGGUUAUUCCAAGGCUCUGGUCCUGAAUGGAGGAGGAGUUUGCAAGUUCCAUUAGUAAGUAACAAGGGAACAACUGGAGCACGUUCCUGAGGCCUGAGAGGCUAGUGUUGCUUCAGGGUUCUCUACCGCUGCUCCAAAUCAAGAAAAAAAGAUCCAGAACCUCGGAGGCAAUAAAAAUCCAAGUUGAGAGAAAGCGGAAUCUUCU